rnacentral:lncRNA from 1 species
UUGCACCAUAAGGAUACGUAGGCACGAGAUUGCGAGAUCUUGGCGAGCACACUAAUAAAAAACCUCCCUGUUCUUCUCUUGAGGUCUUCAUCCAUCUCUAUCCAAUAUUUAAUUACUCGAAUAAAGUGAAUAACAUGCAAUUAACAUUCAAAUAGCAAAUUAGACUAAAAGGUUCCCGUUGAGUACAACGGACGUGAGGGGUGCUAAUAUCUUCCCCUUGCGUAAUCGACUCCCGAACCCGAAUAUGGUUGCGACGACCAUUAUUCUGUUUUUCAAAGGUUUUAUCGAUAUUUUCCUAUUCCUUAAUUGGGAUAAAUAAAGUUCGGUGGCGACUCUGACUCCCGAACCCGAAUAUGGUUGCGACGACCAUUAUUCUGUUUUUCAAAGGUUUUAUCGAUAUUUUCCUAUUCCUUAAUUGGGAUAAAUAAAGUUCGGUGGCGACUCUGUUCGAACAUAAUUUUUUUUCCGCGACCAUCGCGAGGAAUCGUAUUUUUCGAGAUGCGACAGUAUGAAAUUGGUGCAUUAUGGUUCAUGACGGUUCAAGGGUUGUGCUUUCAAAGAGUUAUGCGAUUAGAGUUGUGACUGCGCAAGAGUUGUGCUUUAAAGUAUCAAGUGUUGAGGCGAAAAUCGACGUCGACUUCAAAUGAAUUUUUCAUUAAAAUUUUGCGUCGGAGCGCUGCCCCCUUGACCCCUGUCUGCUGAACGGUUAGUGGAACCCCCGGCUAACUCUACGUAGUGUGAUUAG